rnacentral:tRNA from 3 species
GCGCCCGUAGCUCAGUUGGAUAGAGCGACUGACUACGAAUCAGUAGGCCGCAGGUUCGAGCCCUGCCGGGCGCA